UCGGCAUGGAUCUGCGCAGUCAAGAAAACUGGUUAUCAUAAGUGCUUAUUGCAGUUGUGUUGCAGGAAUGAGCAGUACAUGCAUCCACGUUACAGUUUUGCUGUUCGGGAUUGAAGCUGCGAAUAGGAAUGGGCUGACUAACCCUUCUUGUACCUCCAAAAAAUGUGUGUGGAAUGUGCCAACCGAAAAGACUGUUAUUCAACCUACUAAAAUAGCCGAGAUGGAUUGGAAGUCUGCAAAAUUGAUAGAUUGAUACAUUGAUUGUCAAGGACUACUAGUCUACUAAUUAAUACUAUGAUACUAAAUGUUCAAAUCUCAGACACCGCCAACAUGUUCAUACAUGUGAACCCAUCUCAGAACCCAAAACAACCACUGCAGACCGCAGGAGUGCCCUUUUCCAGCCAAUUAAAAGAAAGGUAACACUGAGUGAUCAUGAAAAGAAGAGAAAGUUAUACAAUGGCCUGAAAGAUGUUAUCCCAGACUCUUCAUUUAUUAUGAUGCAAAAAGCAAAACAUACAGAGGAACAGUUAGGACCAGUGUCAACUCCCACUGAAUCUUCUGUGCUCACCAGCAAUGAAAUAGAUGCCAUUGAGACAGCUACUGUUGGUCAGGCUGACGAUGAAUAUUGGCACAAACAAAGGGAAGGUAGAAUAACUGCAUCACAAUUUCAUCGUGUUUUUUCAAAAGUUGAAACAAUAAAGGCCACUGGUGAAAAUAGCUCAAAGAAACUUGUUCACACCAACACCUGAAAAUAUACCAGCUUAUACCAGGAUAUUGCCCAUCAGGAAUACUUAAAUCAUUUUAACAAACAACACAAAAAUAUAUCUCAUAGAGAAUGUGGUAUUUUUAUUCAUAAAACAAAACAGGAUCUAGGAGCUUCCCCUGACCGCUUGAUCGAAUGCUCUUGUUGUGGUAAAGGCAUAUUAGAAAUAAAAUGCCCCUAUUCCAUUGCGACACUCCCACUCCAGAUAACUUAUCAUAUUUAUGUGAUGAUAGUGGAAAGGUUACCCUAAAGAGAAAUUAUCAGUAUUUUUCACAGAUCCAAGGCCAAAUGGCUGUUACUAAUAGACAAUGGUGUAAUUUUCUAGUUUAUACUCGGAGCGGAUACCAUCUUGAAACUAUAAUGUUUGAUGGCAGUUACUGGAGAAAGGUUGAGGAAAACCUGACAUAUUUCUACACUCAUUUCUUGACUCCUGCCCUUAUUGAGAAAAGACCAAAAGUGUUUGAUAUUGAGGUUGGCCAUAAAGUUGAGAUGUAAUGUAAAGUAUUUUAUAUUUCAUGCUUGUAAUGUUUGCACUUAUUAACAGAUUAUAUAACUAAUAAACCCUAUAUUUGUCUAGUUUCAAUGUCUAGUUAUGUUGUUGCUCAGGGAGGAAGUUUUUUUACUUUUUAAAUAUUGGUAUAUAAAGAUUACAAAUAGCUGCACAAACAUCACAAUUUCAUCAAUAUUACCAAGUAAUGAAAUGGGAAAUUCCUAUUUGAUUAAACGAAAAGUCUUUAAGCGUGUGAUUACAUGCUCAACAACAAUUCUUAAAUUUGCAAUUGAUUUAGUUUUUUUUUUACAUCUGCCUUGGUGAAUUGCUCUUGUCCACGCUUCCCUGGUGGAAUGUGUAGUUUGGAAUUUUGUAGCAACAGAUCCUCAGCAAUGGUAAAAUCUCUGUCUGCCAUGACCUCGUCAUAUGGGUCCAAAAUGCUGUAGAACUUAGAUUUCAUAAACAUCUGAAGUUCUUCCACCCCAUGCAUCUGAUACAAAGUUGAAUGUGUGUGACAGAACCAGUAUUUUAACAUACUUGUUGUGUUGUUUAUAGUCAGACCAGGUUGCUGAUCUCAACUUUGGAUCACUUGGUGUUUCUAUGUAAAUUUCUGUGCAGUCAAUGAUACCUUUGAGUAACCUGGUUUCUUGAAUUUUUUUGGGAGUGUUUCCUUUACAACCUCAAUUGAGGGAUUGUAUACUAAGCAUUUUAAAUCACUAGCUUGUAUUUUUAUCCAUGUGUUAUAAAUGCUAUUAUAUAAAGUCGCAAUUUUUCAUUAAACGAGUGCAAUCGUGAAGCUCACAA